UAGGGAAUCUUCGGCAAUGGGGGGAACCCUGAUCGAGCAACGCCGUGUGAGUGAAGAAGGUUUUCGGAUCGUAAAGCUCUGUUGUUAAGGAAGAACGAGUGUGAGAAUGGAAAGUUCAUACUGUGACGGUACUUAACCAGUAAGGGACGGCUACCUACGUGCCAGCAGCCGCGGUAAUACGUAGGUCCCGAGCGUUGUCCGGAUUUAUUGGGCGUAAAGCGAGCGCAGGCGGUUAGAUAAGUCUGAAGUUAAAGGCAGUGGCUCAACCAUUGUAGUCAUUUGAAACUGUUUAUCUUGAGUGCAGAAGGGGAAAGAGGAAGUCCAUGUGUAGCGGUGGAAUGCGUAAGGAUAUGGAAAAACACCGGUGGCGAAAGCCGCUCUCUGGUCUGUAACUGACGCUGGGGCUCGAAAGCGUGGGGGGCGAACAGG
rnacentral:rRNA from 1 species